GUGUCAGCCGCCGCGGUAAUACGUAGGUGGCGAGCGUUGUCCGGAUUUACUGGGCGUAAAGGGAGCGUAGGCGGAUAUUUAAGUGGGAUGUGAAAUACCCGGGCUUAACUUGGGUGCUGCAUUCCAAACUGGAUAUCUAGAGUGCAGGAGAAGAAAGCGGAAUUCCUAGUGUAGCGGUAAAAUGCGUAGUUAUUAGGAAGAACACCAGUGGCGAAGGCGGCUUUCUGGACUGUAACUGACGCUGAUGCAUGAAAGCGUGGGGAGCAAACAGGAUUAGAUACCCUGGUAGUCCACGCCGUAAACGAUGGGUACUAGGUGUGGGAGGUAUCGACCCCUUCCGUGCCGCAGUAAACACAAUAAGUACCCCACCUGGGGAGUACGGUCGCAAGAUUAAAACUUAAAGGAAUUGGCGG
rnacentral:rRNA from 1 species